AAAUAAAUAUUUCACUAUAAUUAAUAUUUUGUACAAUUGCAAGAAUAUUAAGAAAAUAUAAAUACAAAAUUCACUCCUUUUUUGAAUGCCCUUUCCGAUAUGUAUUUCCGAGAACCUAUACAAACACUUGCGGUAGAAAGAUUAGUAACAAAUAAAUAAUUAUCAAAAUAAAAUAAAAAUCAUAUGGGCAUAAAUAUAUAUAUAUAAAUAGAAUUUUUAUUAAAAGUGUGGGC
rnacentral:lncRNA from 1 species